CAUAUGUCUCCUCCAACUCCACUGGGUUCUCUUCUUCGAUUCCAAUCCCUUCUUGGAUUCUUAAACCAUAUUUUUUCUUAUGCUUCUUUGAUUAUUGCUCAUCAACCUAUUUCUAAUUGGAAUCCAAAAUUUAUACUUAAUUUGUCAAUAUCGUGAUGUUCACCGAAGGUGGGUGCUUAUCCUCUACACGAAAGAUGCUUUCAUGAUGGAAGCUUUGAAGAACUUCAGAAUCAACAACAAGGUAAUGUUGCUCGUAGAUAGAAAAAUGGUGAGUUCAAGGGAAACUUGGUGUCGAAUUGGAUUUAUGGAUAAACCAUGUGGAACUUGGAUUAAGUUUGGUGAUAUACGAUUCUGAUUUCAAGGUUAUGUCCACUUUAGAAUGUGUGUUGUGGUUCACGAGAAGCUUCAGAUUCCAAGGUUAUUUCCAAUUCAGAAUCAUACUAUUUUUAAACGUUUCUAUUUAAAAGUAUGAUUAUAGGAUGAUUGCAUUUGCUGGUCUGAUUUGCGAUGUAAAGAUGUCCAGUUGACCAUGGACGUUGGGACAAAAUCAAUUUCAUCUCUUUGUUAAGAGAAAGGUAUGCUUAGCCAACGAAAUUUACAAAAUGUCAGAGGAUCAGAAGUCAGCCAGUGGAAGAAAUCAGGUUUGCUCUUUGGCUUCUUAUUUAUACAUUGCUUGCCGGCAAGAGGACAAGACCAGAUACAUUAAGAGUACCAAACAAUUUUGGUUUAUUUGUAUAUAUGUAUGUUAGACUGUUAGUCACUGUUCUUCUUUUCUUUCUUAACUCAUGCCACUUUUACAAAAUAAUAAAUAGUCAAACAGUUGGCAGUUGGAGCUUGAAACCGGACAAUCUGUUGAAAUGGGAACCAUCCACGCCGGAGAUUUUAUGCGGCUCAAGAGUCUGUGCAGAAGUUAAAGGAGUUCAAUAUAAGACGAGUCACAUACCUAUUGCAGCAUAAGUUAUAAACAACACAGCUCUCUGAUUAGAAGAAGCCUCUUCGAGGUGUAUUGGUGGCAACUGGACUAGCAGAAGAAGAAACUCUUACAUAGAUCUCUACCCUCACUUUUCCAAGAUCUAACCAGCAGAUGGAAAAUUUUGAACCCUGGCCAGAAUGUCACCUUGGCCAAAAUGUCUAAUAUAGCUUUUGCCAGUGCCUUUUGAAAAUCUCUACUGUGUUGCAUUGGGGAUGAACAAUUGUUACCUUAACUAUGAAUCUAUGAGAUUGGGGGGUAUUUCCAACAGCAGGUGAGGGAUUUAGUAUUCCUAAACUUCUCCCCACAAGGAGUGGCACUUUCAUUUGUUUAGAGUCUUUCUAUGCCAGAUAUAUCAGUGGCAACUUGAGUUGCCGAAGAAAUUAUAGUAAACUCUUACGAAGAUCUCUACUCUCACCCUCGAAGUAGUCCUAUGCAAUUAUAUCUGGUUUCCAAGAGUUUAUUUCUUUAGAAUUGUAUUAAGUAAUCGCACUUCUACAUAUGCUGUGAAAAAUAUUACAAAUUGUUUAGAUUGAGAUUAUAAUAUUUUAUUAAAUU